AUGGCAGCAAACGCUACUACCAACCCAUUGCAGCUGCUGUUGCUAGAGCUUAUAAACAAAUGAAUAAGAUCAAGAAUUCACAUCAGGAUGAAGAAUCAUAAGGAAAUUGUUGAUACUCUUCUAGAAUUUGAUGACUUUGUCAAUAUGGUUCUGGAAGAGGUCACUGAGUUUGAAAUCACACCAGAAGGAAGAAGGAUUACUAAAUUAGAUCAGACUUUGCUGAAUGGAAAUAACACAACAAUGCUGGUUCCAGGAGGAGAAGGACCUGAAGUGCAAAUGGGUUUCCUUGACUUAUGCUAGAUUUUGUUUUGUCUUUUAAUGGCAGCAAAAUAUAAGUUGUUGUUUUUUUUCAACUUUUUAAUAUUUAGAUCCUAUAAAGCUAAGUUUCCCAUUAAAGGGAAAUGCUUUGAAGAUAUAUACCCAUUUUUGUAAAUUAAUCAUAAUUAUCUUGGAAAGAGGAGAAUUCUUCUUUGAAAGAUUAAAAUAAAGAUGUUUUUGGUU